GACGAACGCUGGUGGCGUGCCUAAUACAUGCAAGUCGAGCGAACUUGAUGAGAAGCUUGCUUCUCUGAGAGUUAGCGGCGGACGGGUGAGUAACACGUAGGCAAUCUGCCUGUAAGACUGGGAUAACUACCGGAAACGGUAGCUAAUACCGGAUAGGUGAUUUUCUCGCAUGAGGAAGUCAAGAAAGACGGAGCAAUCUGUCACUUACGGAUGGGCCUGCGGCGCAUUAGCCAGUUGGUGAGGUAAUGGCUCACCAAGGCGACGAUGCGUAGCCGACCUGAGAGGGUGAACGGCCACACUGGGACUGAGACACGGCCCAGACUCCUACGGGAGGCAGCAGUAGGGAAUCUUCCGCAAUGGACGAAAGUCUGACGGAGCAACGCCGCGUGAGUGACGAAGGUGUUCGGAUCGUAAAGCUCUGUUGCCAGGGAAGAACGUCUUAGAGAGUAACUACUCUAAGAGUGACGGUACCUGAGAAGAAAGCCCCGGCUAACUACGUGCCAGCAGCCGCCGUAA
rnacentral:rRNA from 1 species